rnacentral:hammerhead_ribozyme from 1 species
AUACAGCUGACGAGUCCCAAAUAGGAAGAAUCGCGCGUCCUGGAU